AUUUACCAAUUAUUAAGGAAACACCAAAUGUGUGUGUUAACUAAAUAAAUAGGCAUUAAUAUGCAGAGCAGAGAAAGUGCCUAUAGGUGCUUCACAAGUGAAGGGGACCUCCGGAGUGUUCUGGUUGGUGGGAUGGGAGAGUCUCUACCUCUCCCAAUUAGCCAGGAAAACCAUGUGAUUUGAGAUGCUGCCACUCUAGGGGUCUGAUCACAUCCCUUAACUCCCCCCACCACAGAACAAAAGCUUGGCUCCCAACCACAACAUCCUGGUUCUUCUGUGACCUUGCUCCAGCCAUCCUUUCUAGCUCCUCUCCCUCACUUCUUCACACACCCUAGCCCCAGGAGGAUGCUCACUGUCCAGUUUUUAGACACUGUGCCUUUGCUUCUGUUCUUUCCCAGGUUUCUCCCACUCUGCCUAUCUCGGGGUGGAAGGAAGGUUGAAGAGACAGAGAAUGGCUGGAGGCAUGUUUCCUGAAGGUGCUCAGUUCAUAUUUGUCAAAGCCAGUAGGGUAGCCACCUUAGGAGCUCCUGCUUGGGGGUUGGAGGGAUGAUGUGCAGAGAUUCAGAAGCUCUGGCCUUCAGGGGACUUAGAUGCCAGUGGGGGGAGACAGACCAGUAAGAAGCGCAGGGAAGCAUAAUAGGCGCUCUGAGAGGAAUAUGUGGAGGGGACAUGUUGGGUGGGAGGGCGAGUCAGGAGAGACUUCAUCCAGAAAGGGACUGAUACCCAGCAGGGCCCAGUGAAAAGAGAUGGGACUGAAUUAGGAGGCUGAGGCUAGAUUAUGGAGGUCAUUGAAUGCCAACCUGAGGACACCCACCACACAGAUUGAACCCAGGUGGUGCCCCCAGGUCUUGCCAGCUUUUAGUCUUGCUCCCUCAGGAAGUCUUUGCUGUAAUACCAAUCUGUUGAGGCAUAGGACCUAAUUGUGAGGCUGUCUCAUCUGCCUGGAGGUGUCUAUGCUUGGGAAGGUGCCAGCUUUUUGCAGGGAGCCCCGGCCAUCUCCUGUAGAGUCUCCUUCCCCACCCCGCCCACGUUCCCAGGCCCCUAGAACAAGUCACUGACCCUGUAGAUAAGAAUAGUGGCUGUACUUCCCAACCAUAAGUCAGGUGAGACAUAGGUAUGACAGUGGGCUGGGCAAUGGACAGUCAGGGACCUCCCAGAACAGGAGAGGAGGGGAAUAGCUUCUGGAUCUGGGGUUUGAAUCCCAAUGCUAAGCACUGGGAAUGCAGUAUUAACUGAUGUAACACAGACACUGUGUCUAAAGCUCUGUGAGAGUAGAUGUUCAAUAAAUGUUCUCCUCCAUCUGCUUUCCUGGGCUGACAAUCCAGGUGAAACAGCUGUAUCCCCCACUCAGCACCCCCCCCCAAAGAGAUGCGUGCCCCUCCUCUAGGGUCUUCACCCCUUCUGCUUGGGUUGCCAGGAUUCUCUAAUUAUUCUACACUUUAAUAAGGCACAGAGGGCUCAUUAUGUAAAUUCAGGCAAAAAAAAAAAAACACCCCAAAACCCAAAUCAUGAAUCGCAUCUGUAUUAAUAAACAUUUUAAUUAACACUUACCAACUGCCAACAAAGUGUUAGAUGUAAAUAACAGGUGGAUGCAGGUUGAAGUAAUGAGACUAGAAAGCCGCUGCUUCCUUUCUACUCCAUCCAGGAAUUUCAAGAGAUAGUUCUUAUGCUAUCUCUUUUUAUUUAUUUUUUAUUUUUUAAGUAGGCUCCAUGCCUAGUGCAAAGCCCAGUGUGGGGCUCAAACUCAUGACUGUGAGAUCAAGACCUGAGUGGAGAUCGAGAGUCAGAUGCUCAACCACCUGAGCCACCCAGGCACCCCGAUAUUUCUUUCUAAAAUUUUUUUUACUUAUUUAAGUAAUUUCUACAUCCAAUGUAGAGUUUGAUCUCAUGACUUGGAGAUCAAGAGUCACAUGCUUUCCCAACUGAGCCAGCCAGGUGCCCCCCGCUAUAUCUUUUUAAAAACAAGCUUAUAGGGGCGCCUGGGUGGCUUAGUCAGUUAAGUGUCUGAUUCUUGAUUUCAGCUCAUGUCAUGAUCUCAGGGCCCUGACUUCAGGGUUGUGAGACUGAGCCCUGCAUCAGGCUCCAUGCUAGGCAUGGAGCCUGCUUAAGAUUCUCUCUCACCCUCUGCCCCUCCCUGCUCAGUGCACACACACACACACACACACUCUCUCUCUCUAAAAAAAAAAAAAAAGAAAAAACAAAAACCCGAAGCCCCCCACAAGCUUAUAAGUUCUCCUGAACCCUGAACUAUUAGUACACACUUAUCAUUGUUUGCCAUUUAAACAUGUUUAUUAAUAAUUUAACAUUUGUAUGGUGCCUCUCAUCUCUGAUUCAUUUAUUCAGUUCAUUCAGCAGCUAGUCAAUAUGUGUGGUAGGCACUGUUCUAGGCACCAGGAUAGAGCAGUGAGUGAAUAAGACAAAGUUCCUGAUCUUAGGAACUUUACAUUGUAGUGGGCAAAGACAGAUAAUAAGGAAAUCAACAAAUACACACACAAAAUAUUCAAUGGUGAGAAGUGAUGUAGGAAAAUAUAAAGUGAAGUAAGGAGAAUAGGGAGAGAGAUUGAGAGUGUGUGUGUGUGUUACUUUCCUUCUGUGGCCAGGGAAGGCUUCAUUGAUUAGGUGACAUUUGAAUGAUAGAAUUUACUGAUUGAUUACAUAUAGGGCAUGAGAGAAAGAGGUGUCAAGUUGGCUCCUGGGCUUUUUACUUGAGCAACUGAAAAAAUGGAAUUGCCACACACUGGUAUGGGGGAAGCCUUAGGUAUGGGAGAAGCCUUAGGGAUACAGAGCAAGUUUGGGAAUUUGAUUUUGGACAUAUGCUGUCAAGUAGGCAGUUAAAUAUGCCAAUCUGGAAUCCAGAGGAAAGGUUGAGACUGGAGAUAUAAAUUUAGAAAUCUUCAGCCCCUAGAUUUUUCAAAACCCAAACUAGCUGUGACCACCAAAGGAAGGAGUGUGGACAGAGAAGAGAUCCAAGGACUGAGCCCUGGGCAGGCCUCCACUGAAGGGUGGGUGAGGUGAAAACAGAGAAAGAAUUGCUGAUGAGGAAGGAGAAGAACCAAGAGAGUGGCUACCUGGACACCAGGUGAAGAAAAUUUUUCAGGGAGGAGUGAGCCACUGUGUAAAAUAAUACUGAUCGAUGCUGAGGAACAUAAGGCUCAAGAAUUGACCACGGGGCUUGGUGCCGUUGGGGUCACUGGGGCUCUCACCAGAGUGGCUUCUAUGGAAAGGAGGAAGGAGGGAGGCAAAUGUUUGAUGCCAGAUUCUGAGAGAGAGAAAGAUGUUGUCUUAAUUCAUUGAUUGGAUACUGUUUUUGAAGAAACCAGCUAGAAAAGACAAUUUGAAUAUGGACUAGAUAAUUAGGAAACUUGUUAAUUUUUUUUAGGAGUGAAAAUAGUAUUAUAGUUAUAAUCUUAGUCUUGACAGAUACCUACUUAAAUGUGUAGGGGUGAAGGGUUGUGAUAUCUGCAAUUUAAUUUCACACAGCUUAGCAAAAAAUAUAUAUAUAUAUAUAAAAUAUACUUAUUUAUUCAGAACACAUAGCAGAAUGUCAACAUUUGUUGAAUUGGGCAUAUGGUGUGUUCACUGUACUAUCCUUUCAAGUUUUUGAUAUGUUUGAAAUGCUAUAGAAAACUUGGGGAAAAUACAGACUCUGGGCCUCACGGGUGGCAAAUGGAUUUUUUAAAAGACCACAGGCAACUCUGAUAUAUCAUCAGGGAUGAGAACCACUGAUCCAAUGCCCCACUGGGCAUGAAACUGAGGUGUGAAUAGUUGAAAGACUUUCCAAAGGACAGAACAAAGGCUCAAAUUCAUGUGUCUUGGCUUCCAGUUCUAUGUACUUUUCUUGUAUAUCCUCUAAAGGAAUUUCUUAGAUAAGAAACCUGACCUUCUUGAACACCUAAAACUCUUUGUCAGCAGAUGAAUUGCACAAGGUAAAGGAUUUGGGCACUUAGAGGAUGCUCAAUUGUUAAGAGUCAGGUUAUUAGAGGACCAAAAAUCAUUAGAGGGUUAAAAAAUUGUAAGGCACUAAGGGCAAGGACAGUCCUAAUUAAAAAAAAAAUGAAUUGUAUUGAAGAGUUAAAUUUUCUUUCAAAUAAUUUUAUUACUUUUUGUGAAGAUAAUCCAUGAGAUUGAAUUUUCACAUGUUUGUAAGAUUUAAUAUAUAGACAAAAUCAUAGCUUAGGAAAAAAUUCGAAAGUCCUAUUAUUAGUUGGGAAAUGAGGUUACAGAUGAAGUUCUUGGUGUUGAAAGAGCCCAGGUUCUUGCAGAGAGACAUGAAGAAUUGAAGAGGCAUAUCAGUAGUAGGUCCCAGUGUCUAGUGGGAAAGGCAUGAGUCUUGGCAGUCAGACAAGACCUGGGUUGGAAUUCUGACUCUGCCAUUGACUAGUUUUGUGACAUUAGGAUAGUUAUGUGAGCGCCCCGCAUCUGUUAUUCAGCCCCUCUUGCAGGCACUAGUUGCUCGGAUAUAGCAGUUAACACAAGAUGCACAAGGUGCUGCUCUCCUAGAAAUCCAACAGGUAAUUAAGGAAUGGGGGAUAUUCAGGUGGGGGUUCUAACUCCAAAGGUACUGAAAGCAGCUCUUAACCAGGUGGAGAUGAAGCUGGACCGGGAGAGGCAAAAGAAGGCAACAUUUUAAGGAACGUGUGGGGGAGCCUAGUAGCCUGGAGCAGCUGAGAAACACAUACAGUUCCUGUGGCUUUAAUGCAGGUGAUGGCGAUUAUUUAGUGAAACAAGUAUGGAAUGACCUAACUCUGACCCAGAAGUAAGAGGCAGGGCUUGGGGCGUGAACCUGAGCGCUUUAAACUCUGCCAGGGAAGGGGACUUCAACCUCCAGCACCACAAAAGUAAAACGCCUGGCCUCUGAAGAACCCAAGACAGGUGGCGUCGGAACUGGAGGCUUAUGCGGGGGGCGUGGCUUCAGGCAGCUACCCGACGUCCUCUUCCGGAACAGGCCUGUGCCCCGGAAGCAGUUGUUUGCUGAGCGACUUUGGUCCCGUUUAGGAGACUGCGUGGGUGUUGUCACCAUGUUCCUAUCCGCGGUCACCUGUGAGCACUACUUCAACGGAUCAUGUAUCUAUCUGGGUCUCAGCCACUCCUGCUGUGCUCUGCUUUUCCACGGAAAAUCGCUCCCUUCGGGAUAUAUCAAUAGAAAGAAACCUAGAGAUUUACUUGGGCCAAGAUCCUCAAUGAGUGAAGAGAAAACUUCCUGGAUGAAUGCUGGGAGAGUGCGUGUGAAGCUUGGUGUGGACGAUACGAGGAAGGAGAGCGGUCCUGCCUGGCACUACGUUGGGAAGUCAACUAAGUGGGAACGCGGAAUGUGGCCUGCAGAGUCUGCCCGGGGCGAGAGGCCGAAUAGGGUCCAACACGGGGAUCAAGACCCAGUGACAGUUUACGGCCCGGCCUGAGGAUCAGACUUUGAGCGGCCUGGGCUCUAACACACCGCUUCUGUCACACAGCUUAAUAUCUGCCCAUUCUGCAAGGAAAACACACAGCUGCUUAUAUUAGAGGUGGGUUUUUUUUUUUUUUUCUUUUUAAAGGAAGCUCUAUGCCCAGUGUGGGGCUUGAACUCAGGACCCCAAGAUCAAGAGUCAUGUGCUCUACCGACUGAGCCAGCCAAGCGUCCCUAGAGAGUUUUGAGAGUGUCAUGUUCAGGAUUCUCAGCGAUGAUUCAUAGCAAAGGAAGGAAUGACCUGGUGAAACAGGGAUGAGAAGUCUUUCCACCAAAGAGGUCACACUCUCCCGGCUCCAGCCCAAAGUCGAGGAAUGAUAUGUUGCUUUUUGGCUUUUUGCGUUCCAUCCUUUCUUCUGCCUGCAAGCUUGUGACACCCUGUAUGCCUCUAGAAUAGGGGAUUGUACUAUUAUUGCCCAAUUAAAAUUCAUUACACCCAUUUAUUAUUCCUAUUGCCUGUACUCUUCAGCUGUAUCUGUUCUGCUCAGCAUUUGUGUAUGUCACAUUUAUAGGAAUGCAUGUCAUUUCCAAACCAACCUAGUGAUCUCUUUCUAGCUCUGUAAAAAACAAAAAAACAGCUUCAAAUCUUCAUUCUGUGGUUCCUAACCCUAAAUCUGC